rfam:Rattus norvegicus chromosome 6, whole genome shotgun sequence.
GGGGAUUUAGCUCAGCGGUAGAGCGCUUGCCUAGCAAACGCAAGGCCCUGGGUUCGGUCCCCAGCUCCA